rnacentral:lncRNA from 1 species
AACUCACCCAGCGCAUCCGACUGCACAAUGAAAAAAAGUAGUUUUCCUUUACAAUGAGGCUUGGCCCCCAGGGCGAUGGUGCCACAAGCCAGAUCACUGGGACCACUCAGAGAAAGGGAACACAGAAGCCUGGCAUGCCAGCAAAAAGCAGGGUUUUUGUGAGCAGUGUCUUGCACCAAACUCCUGUCUCCUCCUGUGACUUAGAAUGCCUAACUUCCUGGGAAUGCAGCACAGGUCUCAGCCUCAUUUUGCCCAGCCCCUAUUCAAGACGGAUUUGCUGUGGUUCAAAUGCUUCUGACAAUAUUCCUCAUGGUGAAUGCUGGAUUUUGCAUGCCCGAGGCCCUGGGCCACACUGUAUGUUUGCUUUUUGCAAGGGCUGUAUGGCUAUGACUAGUUAUGUGGACCCUGCAUUCCUAUGUAAAUGACCCUCCAUAAAAACCCCAGAAAUGAAUGCUUGAGUGAACUUCCCUGGCUUGUAUUAUAAU